rnacentral:rRNA from 1 species
UACGUAGGGUGCAAGCGUUGUCCGGAAUUAUUGGGCGUAAAGAGCUCGUAGGCGGUCUGUCGCGUCUGCUGUGAAAACUCAGGGCUUAACCCUGAGCUUGCAGUGGGUACGGGCAGACUAGAGUGCGGUAGGGGAGACUGGAAUUCCUGGUGUAGCGGUGAAAUGCGCAGAUAUCAGGAGGAACACCGGUGGCGAAGGCGGGUCUCUAGGCCGUAACUGACGCUGAGGAGCGAAAGCAUGGGGAGCGAACAGG